rnacentral:rRNA from 1 species
GGGUUUUUUUUGCUUACAAGGUAUUGAAUAAGGUUUUAAUUGAAUGCUAAAAGAAUGGAAUAUCAAAGAAUAACUUUCUUAAAAUUAAAAAUUGAAAUUUUUUUAAUUUGUGUAAAAACAAUUAUAUAAAUUAAAGACAAGAAGACCCUAAGAAUUUUUAAAAUUUAAAUUAACACAUUUUUGUUUUAAUUAAAUUUUAACUGGGGCGGUUAAAAAAUAUUAAAAACUUUUUAAUUUUGAAAAUGAUCCAUUAUUAAUGAAAAUAUGAUAAAAUACUCUAGGGAUAACAGCGUUAUAUUUUUUGAUAGAUCAUAUUGACAAAAAAGUUUGCGACCUCGAUGUUGGAUUAGGAUACUUUUUUAAUGAAGAUAUUAAAAUAAGAAGUUUGUUCAACUUUUAAAUUCCUACAUGAUCUGAGNUUAGACCGAA